rnacentral:rRNA from 1 species
GAUUAACGCUAGCGGCAGGCCUAAUACAUGCAAGUCGCACGAGAUUAAGUAGCAAUACUUAUGAAAGUGGCGCACGGGUGCGUAACACGUAUGCAAUCUACCUUUGACUGGGGAAUAGCUCCGAGAAAUCGGAAUUAAUACCGCAUAAUGUUGCUGAGAGGCAUCUCUCGGCAACCAAAACUCCGGUGGUCAAAGAUGAGCAUGCGCCCGAUAGCUAGUUGGUGAGGUAAUGGCUCACCAAGGCUACGAUCGGGUA